rnacentral:other from 1 species
GUUCUACUGCGGUGUUGGUGACUGCCAAUAAAGUUUUAUGAUCUAUGCCUUGAGAUAACGGGAACCCCUGUAGUUCUAGCGGCAGUAUGCCGGCCAGUAACCGGACACGAAAGCUAUCGAACCUGGGUACCCACCUGGUGCAACCAGGUCAAAAACUGAGGUAAGACGACACUGCGGUAAACCU